AAGUGUACAAAUAUGAAAAUAUCGUAAAAUGUCUGCCAAAUUUUAAAUGUAACAAAAAAAAAAAAAUCCGGCUUUCUUCGGUAUAAAACUGAACAAUGCCCGGGCGUGUUGUUACUUCAGUUAAUUACAGGUCUUUACAGUCCGAUACCACGAAAAUAUUCUGCUACUGUCACUUAUUUGCACCUUUUUUUCGCGUUUCCGACUUCUAGUAAGAAAUACCCAACACUCUCGUUCACUUUUGGGUCUCUUAUAUGUUCGGUCUCCGUUAAGUUGACUGUCUAAUUGUUUAUAGUUCUUUUGAUGUCGUUUCCCGACCAAUUUAUUUCACUGAUUUUUAAGACUCCGACUGUAUAUUAGCCAGUAGCUUUUGAUAUGAUAUUUUCAGGGUAUUUGAAAUAGGUUACCAUAUCGUGUAGUACGGGGUUUCGUUUAAAAAUACCGUUGUCCGGUAUAUUGCACCUGAAGACACGAUUGAAUUGUGGACUAAUUUUUUUUCUUAAAUAAUAUUUUGCAGAAGCAAAUUGCGCACAGAAAAUAUUUAAGAUUCAACUACAGUCGCAGUAUAUAGGAUUAUCCCU